AGCGCUCCUUGGCACUGGAACCCUCCUGGUCUGGUGAGGGAGGAACUACGGACUGUUCUGAGGCUACACAGGCAUCACCCAACACUUCCUCCGUUCAGACUGAGGAAAGAGCUUGGGCUGGGGCUUUGGAUUCCCGUUACCUAAGGAGGAUUCUGACUGUGUGAACAAAUCAGACGGGUCCCACGGGAACAGAAAGUUUUGAGGGAGUUGACUGUUUGUGCAAGAUGACUGGUUGGGUAAAGAAGUCCAAAGUUGAUUAUCUGCAGAACAAAUAAAGCCUGGGCAAAGACUACCACAUCUAGAGGUACCACAUCAGACUGAUGGAGAAGAUGGUGCAUCACCCAGAUAUUCUGGACAUUGACCUGGAAGUGGUGACUGGAUGGUACCUUGCAUUGUCCUCUUGGGGGGAGCUGGAAGCAAAGGACUCCACGAUGGAUGAGCCACACGAUGGAAGGAGCCCAACCUACACCAGAUGUCCAUGAGCUCCCGGUAUCCCCGGAAACUAGUCCUCCUCUCCGGAUUGCUGGCCACAUCUUCUCACUGAUUCCUCAAGAUGUUCAGAGUGAAGCCUCUCAGACCCCAAGGAAGGUGGAUCAAGAAAAGAAUGGAGAUCACUGCUCCCUUGACUCCUCCAAGGACCUGAACUUGAGAAGGUGCCUGAAGCCUCCAGAACUCUCGAUAAGGUGCUAAAGCUCACGCAGAAUGAAUGGGGUAGCCCCACAUGGAUGCUCUCACUGUGGGCAUCUCAGGUACUACAAAUGGAGUCUGACCCUGGUACCUUCCCUCAGAAUGACCCCUUUGCUCAGAAACCCUGGUACCUUCCCUCAGGA